rnacentral:rRNA from 1 species
GCCAGCAGUUCUAUCACCCUGCGACACGACUGGCAACCCACUGAGGCUCAGCAGGUGUGAGCCUGGUCAGUACCUGGAUGGGAGAUCUCCUGGGAAACACUAAGGUUGCUGCUGGAA